GAAAGAUUCAUCGGAAGAGGAUGGGCAUGCGGCGCAUUAGCUUGACGGCGGGGUAACGGCCCACCGUGGCGACGAUGCGUAGGGGUUCUGAGAGGAAGGUCCCCCACACUGGUACUGAGACACGGACCAGACUCCUACGGGAGGCAGCAGUGAGGAAUAUUGGUCAAUGGGAGAGAUCCUGAACCAGCCAAGCCGCGUGAGGGAAGACGGCCCUAUGGGUUGUAAACCUCUUUUGUCGGAGAACAAAACCCGGGACGUGUCCCGGACUGCGUGUAUCCGAAGAAAAAGCAUCGGCUAACUCCGUGCCAGCAGCCGCGGUAAUACGGAGGAUGCGAGCGUUAUCCGGAUUUAUUGGGUUUAAAGGGUGCGUAGGCGGUCCGUUAAGUCAGCGGUAAAAUUGCGGGGCUCAACCCCGUCGAGCCGUUGAAACUGGCAGACUUGAGUUGGCGAGAAGUACGCGGAAUGCGCGGUGUAGCGGUGAAAUGCAUAGAUAUCGCGCAGAACUCCGAUUGCGAAGGCAGCGUACCGGCGCCAGACUGACGCUGAGGCACGAGAGCGUGGGGAUCGAACAGGAUUAGAUACCCUGGUAGUCCACGCAGUAAACGAUGAAUGCUGGUUGUCCGGGUCGAAUG
rnacentral:rRNA from 1 species